rnacentral:hammerhead_ribozyme from 1 species
AUCUUGUUGACGAACCCCAAAUAGGACGAAAUGCGCAUCCUGGAU